CAUGCGGGCCGGGCCCCUCUGGCGCAGUGCAAUGGGACAAACGUUUCCCGAGCACGGCGUGAUGUCGGACCGCAUCG
rfam:Novosphingobium sp. Leaf2 contig_2, whole genome shotgun sequence.